rnacentral:rRNA from 1 species
AUUGAACGCUGGCGGCAGGCCUAACACAUGCAAGUCGAACGAGUGGCGGACGGGUGAGUAAUGUCUGGGAAACUGCCUGAUGGAGGGGGAUAACUACUGGAAACGGUAGCUAAUACCGCAUACCAUAAGAUGUGCCCAGAUGGGAUUAGAUUGUUUGUGGGGUAACGGCUCACCAAGGCGACGAUCCCUAGCUGGUCUGAGAGGAGGACCAGCCCAACGGUAACUGAGGCACGGUCCAGCCUCCUGCGUUAGGCAGCAGUGGGGAAUAUUGCACAAUGUGCGCAAGCCUGAUGCAGCCAUGCCGCGUGUAUGAAGAAGGCCUUCGGGUUGUAAAGUACUUUCAGCGGGGAGGCGUUACCCGCAGAAGAAGCACCGGCUAACUCCGUGCCAGCAGCCGCGGUAAUAC